AUGGUAUUUAUCCAUCAUGGUCUACAUUUGUCAAGACCAUUAGUGAUCACAAAAUCCAAAAGCACAAAUUUUUUGCCGAAGCAUAAGAAGCUUGUCGAAAGGAUAUUGAGAGGGCACUUGGUGUGUUGCAAGCUCGGUUUGCCAUUGUUUGAGGUCCUGCUCGCUUCUGGGAUAAACGAUCCCUUUGAAACAUCAUGA
rnacentral:rRNA from 1 species